AUUGAACGCUGGCGGCAUGCCUUACACAUGCAAGUCGAACGGUAACAGGCCGCAAGGUGCUGACGAGUGGCGAACGGGUGAGUAAUGCAUCGGAACGUGCCCAGUCGUGGGGGAUAACGCAGCGAAAGCUGCGCUAAUACCGCAUACGAUCUAUGGAUGAAAGCGGGGGACCGUAAGGCCUCGCGCGAUUGGAGCGGCCGAUGUCAGAUUAGGUAGUUGGUGGGGUAAAGGCUCACCAAGCCAACGAUCUGUAGCUGGUCUGAGAGGACGACCAGCCACACUGGGACUGAGACACGGCCCAGACUCCUACGGGAGGCAGCAGUGGGGAAUUUUGGACAAUGGGCGCAAGCCUGAUCCAGCAAUGCCGCGUGCAGGAAGAAGGCCUUCGGGUUGUAAACUGCUUUUGUACGGAACGAAACGGUCCGGGUUAAUACCCUGGGCUAAUGACGGUACCGUAAGAAUAAGCACCGGCUAACUACGUGCCAGCCGCCGCAGUAAUAC
rnacentral:rRNA from 1 species